AUUGAACGCUGGCGGCAGGCCUAACACAUGCAAGUCGAACGGUAACAGGAAGCAGCUUGCUGCUUUGCUGACGAGUGGCGGACGGGUGAGUAAUGUCUGGGAAACUGCCUGAUGGAGGGGGAUAACUACUGGAAACGGUAGCUAAUACCGCAUAACGUCGCAAGACCAAAGAGGGGGACCUUAGGGCCUCUUGCCAUCGGAUGGGCCCAGAUGGGAUUAGCUAGUAGGUGGGGUAACGGCUCACCUAGGCGACGAUCCCUAGCUGGUCUGAGAGGAUGACCAGCCACACUGGAACUGAGACACGGUCCAGACUCCUACGGGAGGCAGCAGUGGGGAAUAUUGCACAAUGGGCGCAAGCCUGAUGCAGCCAUGCCGCGUGUAUGAAGAAGGCCUUCGGGUUGUAAAGUACUUUCAGCGGGGAGGAAGGGAGUAAAGUUAAUACCUUUGCUCAUUGACGUUACCCGCAGAAGAAGCACCGGCUAACUCCGUG
rnacentral:rRNA from 1 species